UCUCCGUUGGUGAACCAGCGGAGGGAUCAUUACCGAGUUUACAACUCCCAAACCCCUGUGAACAUACCAAUUGUUGCCUCGGCGGUGCCUGCUUCGGCAGCCCGCCAGAGGACCCAAACCCUUGAUUUUAUACAGUAUCUUCUGAGUAAAUGAUUAAAUAAAUCAAAACUUUCAACAACGGAUCUCUUGGUUCUG
rnacentral:misc_RNA from 1 species